AGUUAUACUUUUCAGGGCAGUGAAGGUGACUGUUUUUAUGUUGUUGGUAGUGGAGAAUUUGAAGUCUUGGCAACUCAGGAAGAAAAAGAUGGGGAAGUAACCAAGGUUUUACAGCAUUACACAUCGGAAAAACUAUCAUGCUUUGGAGAGCUUGCUCUAAUGUACAAUAAACCACUCCAGGCUUCUGUAUGUGCUGUAACUAAGGGGA